UGUGUGUGUGUGUGCGCGUGUGUGUGUGAGGAAAGGGAGUGGAUAUAUUGUUUUGUGUGUUUGCAGACUGUACGUGUGUCUCAACUUCUUGCAACCCAGCAAGAUGAUGCAGUGUUGAGUUUGUUAGGAUUUCAAUUUUCAUUCCCUGCAUGCUUCAGUGUCUGGACAGGGAAUUCAUUGUGUGCAUAUCCGAUUGAAGUCAAUAUGGAGCACAUAUUGGAAAGUCUGCGUUCAACUUAACAUAUUGUCAUUGGUGUGUGUCCAAGUGAUCAAAGAGUCGCUGCACUGAGCUGCCCACAUUUAUACAAAAGGUAUGUGCGCAAAAAAACCAGACACAAGCACAGGAGUAAUUAGAGCGACAGACCAGUGCAAGAAAACACAGCUCGGACUGAACAGAACAUAGUCACACACGUCAUCUGCAAUUUUGCUUAACAUGACCCAGAAAAAGACUUAAUGUAUUCUACCAUUAACAUAUUAACACCAAUGAAUUGCACUGAGAAAUGUCUAGAAACUUUUUGUAGUGCAUUUUGCAUGUAUGAAUAAGUAAUGUUGGAACCAGGGGUAAUAAUGCAUGUCAUUUCUUCAUUUUCACACCAUACAGCCAAAUGGUGAGAGUGUGAGGAUGACUACAGAGCCUGAAGGUCUGGUUCUCACUCCACUGAUGGACGCUACAGACGUCUGGAAGGCUGUUGGCCAGUGUGACAUCAGCACACGGCACUCAGCGGAGCAGGAGAAGCCCUUAAACAAGGCAUUAUAUUUCUGGCUGGCUUCUGCUCAUAUUCACAUUGAACAGCAGAACAAACAAUGACAGGGCGGGGAGGAAUUGCAGACACCUCACCCAGCAUGUGUGAAAAUAAAUCUGCUCAAGGGCGGAGACCUGUGUGUCUUCAACAAUCAUGGAAAUUUCAAUGGCCACGCCACGAAGGCGGCCUUUUUUUUUUACUUGGCCUUUUAAUAAAGGCAUUUCAUUACGCCGUGUGCGAGUCAUGCACUCAUGGGCGAUUUCUGUAUCACAAUGAGAACCUGCGGGGAGCUCUUUUCAUUGCCUUGAUUCCAACAGGAUCAAAACUGAAAAUGUGUUUCAUCGGUGUCCUUGUUUCCGAUCUCCGUGCUUGUCAUCAAACAGACUAAUUGCAUUUUGCUAAGUGAUAAAGUACUACAUUGUGUCUAACCACAUGAUAAUAUUUGACGCAGAACAUCAAAGGGCAAUUGUAGCAGCUUUGUUGCUUUCAAGAGCCCCUUUGAAAGCCGAAAACACGGCGCUCUGUCUAAACUAAACCACCUGAAAAAUACCUUAUGGAAAAUUUAAUCUGGAGUUUACCCUCCUCUAAUCAGAGAGAGCGAGAAGAAAAGCGGUCCUCUCUCUUAAACUCAUUUUCAUCACCCAACGUAUCAAUACGUGUUAUCCGACUGAGUGAAAAGGUAGUGGUUGUUAAGUGAUACAAACAGACUGGGGAGAAGAGAGUGCAGCACUGGACACAGAUGGCAGCUGGAAAGUCUAUCAUUUCACAGGAUUAGAUGCUGUUUGCCUUGUAUUGUGCUCCAGCCUCCAGUGUCCCCGAAGGACGCUUAUCUGCGCACUCUUUCCAUGCAACGCAGACGCAGUCACAACAUACAUACAACAACACACACACAAGGAAAUCAGGGCAAUGAAUGACGCCCUCCCCUUUAGGAUUAAAGAAAACAGAUUACUCAACGAUGGCGCAGCAGGGAACGGACCGAGGUAGACAGUGGAAGGCCUCAUUGGGUUCUGAUGAUCCAGUCCUACAGAUGCAACCACGUCAGCUUCACAUGGGACAAAAUCAGUCUUCUUCCUGCCUUGGAUUCACCUAAGGACAUGGCCCUGGUUGGUGAGAGGAAAAAAGGUUAACUCAAGCUGCAGCACCAGAAACUCUGUGACCAGAUGUGUGCAACUCUAUCAAAGCCAGAUCACGCAAAGAACUGAGCUCUGACCGAGCAGUAAUGUGGCAUAAAGCAAAUCUGGGUGACAACAGCUCAUCUGUCUGCGGCUACGGCAGCUUACAGUAAUUUAUGAGCACCCCAUUUGAACCAUACACAAAUGAAUGCUUUCCAAGAUUACAUGCUCAUAAAUAUUCUGACGAAUGCCCUGAGUGAAGAGGUGACCCCAUCAAUGACAGUAAUUUACAUUUCAAAAGGUUGC